AUUGAACGCUGGCGGCAUGCCUUACACAUGCAAGUCGAACGGCAGCACGGGAGCAAUCCUGGUGGCGAGUGGCGAACGGGUGAGUAAUAUAUCGGAACGUGCCCAGUCGUGGGGGAUAACGCAGCGAAAGCUGUGCUAAUACCGCAUACGAUCUAUGGAUGAAAGCGGGGGAUCGCAAGACCUCGCGCGAUUGGAGCGGCCGAUAUCAGAUUAGCUAGUUGGUGAGGUAAAGGCUCACCAAGGCGACGAUCUGUAGCUGGUCUGAGAGGACGACCAGCCACACUGGAACUGGGACACGGUCCAGACUCCUACGGGAGGCAGCAGUGGGGAAUUUUGGACAAUGGGCGAAAGCCUGAUCCAGCAAUGCCGCGUGCAGGAUGAAGGCCUUCGGGUUGUAAACUGCUUUUGUACGGAACGAAACGGUGAGCUCUAAUACAGUUUGCUAAUGACGGUACCGUAAGAAUAAGCACCGGCUAACUACGUGCCAGCCGCCGCGGUAA
rnacentral:rRNA from 1 species